UCGGAAUCACUGGGCGUAAAGCGCACGUAGGCGGCUUUGUAAGUCAGGGGCGAAAUCCUGGAGCUCAACUCCAGAACUGCCUUCGAUACUGGGAAGCUCGAGUCCGGGAGAGGUGAGUUGAACUGCGAGUGUAGAGGUGAAAUUCGUAGAUAUUCGCAAGAACACCAGUGGCGAAGGCGGCUCACUGGCCCGGUACUGACGCUGAGGUGCGAAAGCGUGGGGGGCAAACAGG
rnacentral:rRNA from 1 species